GACGAAGGGGGCUAGCGUUGUUCGGAAUUAUUGGGCGUAAAGCGCGCGCAGGCGGUCCUUUAAGUCUGAUGUGAAAGCCCACGGCUCAACCGUGGAGGGUCAUUGGAAACUGGGGGACUUGAGUGCAGAAGAGGAAAGCGGAAUUCCACGUGUAGCGGUGAAAUGCGUAGAGAUGUGGAGGAACACCAGUGGCGAAGGCGGCUUUCUGGUCUGUAACUGACGCUGAGGCGCGAAAGCGUGGGGAGCAAACAGG
rnacentral:rRNA from 1 species